rnacentral:tRNA from 1 species
UGGCUCGUCGUCUAAGGGAGAGGACGCAAGCUUGCGGAGCUUGUGAUGCAGGUUCGAAUCCUGCCGAGCCAGCCA